GACGAACGCUGGCGGCGUGCUUAACACAUGCAAGUCGAACGGAAAGGCCCUGCUUUUGUGGGGUGCUCGAGUGGCGAACGGGUGAGUAACACGUGAGUAACCUGCCCUUGACUUUGGGAUAACUUCAGGAAACUGGGGCUAAUACCGGAUAGGAGCUCCUGCUGCAUGGUGGGGGUUGGAAAGUUUCGGCGGUUGGGGAUGGACUCGCAGCUUAUCAGCUUGUUGGUGGGGUAGUGGCUUACCAAGGCUUUGACGGGUAGCCGACCUGAGAGGGUGACCGGCCACAUUGGGACUGAGAGACGGCCCAGACUCCUACGGGAGGCAGCAGUGGGGAAUAUUGCACAAUGGGCGGAAGCCUGAUACAGCAACGCCGCGUGCGGGAUGACGGCCUUCGGGUUGUAAACCGCUUUCGCCUGUAACGAAGCGUGAGUGACGGUAAUGGGUAAAGAAGCACCGGCUAACUACGUG
rnacentral:rRNA from 1 species